AGCGAACGCUGGCGGCAGGCUUAACACAUGCAAGUCGAGCGGGCACUUUCGGGUGUCAGCGGCGGACGGGUGCGUAACGCGUGGGAACGUGCCCUCUGGUUCGGAAUAACUCAGGGAAACUUGAGCUAAUACCGGAUACGCCCUUUUGGGGAAAGGCUUGCUGCCGGAGGAUCGGCCCGCGUCGGAUUAGCUAGUUGGUGAGGUAACGGCUCACCAAGGCGACGAUCAGUAGCUGGUCUGAGAGGAUGAUCAGCCACACUGGGACUGAGACACGGCCCAGACUCCUACGGGAGGCAGCAGUGGGGAAUAUUGGACAAUGGGCGCAAGCCUGAUCCAGCCAUGCCGCGUGAGUGAUGAAGGCCUUAGGGUUGUAAAGCUCUUUUAUCCGGGACGAUAAUGACGGUACCGGAGGAAUAAGCCCCGGCUAACUUCGUG
rnacentral:rRNA from 1 species